rnacentral:rRNA from 1 species
UACGUAGGCAGCGAGCGUUGUUCGGAGUUACUGGGCGUAAAGGGUGCGUAGGCGGUUGUUUACGUUUGGUGUGAAAUCUCCCGGCUCAACUGGGAGGGUGCGCCGAAUACUGAAUGACUAGAGUGCGGGAGAGGAUAGUGGAAUUCCUGGUGUAGCGGUGAAAUGCGUAGAUAUCAGGAGGAACACCGGUGGUGUAGACGGCUAUCUGGACCGUAACUGACGCUGAGGCACGAAAGCGUGGGUAGCAAACAGG